rnacentral:rRNA from 1 species
GAUGAACGCUAGCGGCAGGCUUAAUACAUGCAAGUCGAGGGGCAGCGCAGUGUAGCAAUACAUGGGCGGCGACCGGCAAACGGGUGCGUAACACGUACGCAACCUUCCCGUUACUGUGGGAUAGCCCAGGGAAACUUGGGAUUAAUACCACAUAUUGCCAUUGGGAGGCAUCUCUUGAUGGCCAAAGAAUUUCGGUAACGGAUGGGCGUGCGGUUGAUUAGGUAGUUGGCGGGGUAACGGCCACCAAGCCUACGAUCAAUAGCUGAUGUGAGAGCAUGAUCAGCCACACGGGCACUGAGACACGGGCCCGACUCCUAGGGAGGCAGCAGUAAGGAAUAUUGGGCAAUGGACGAAGUCUGACCAGCCAUG